rnacentral:rRNA from 1 species
UACGGAGGGGGCAAGCGUUGUUCGGAGUUACUGGGCGUAAAGCGCACGUAGGCGGUGCGGUAAGUCAGGGGUUAAAGGCUGCAGCUCAACUGCAGUAAGGCCUUUGAUACUAUCGUGCUAGAGUGUCAGAGAGGAUGGCGGAAUUCCCGGUGUAGCGGUAAAAUGCGUAGAUAUCGGGAGGAACACCAGUAGCGAAGGCGGCCAUCUGGCUGAUAACUGACGCUGAGGUGCGAGAGCGUGGGGAGCAAACAGG